ACUCCUACGGGAGGCAGCAGUGGGGAAUAUUGCACAAUGGGCGCAAGCCUGAUGCAGCCAUGCCGCGUGUAUGAAGAAGGCCUUCGGGUUGUAAAGUACUUUCAGCAGUGAGGAAGGCGGAGUCGUUAAUAGCGGCCUCGUUUGACGUUAGCUGCAGAAGAAGCACCGGCUAACUCCGUGCCAGCAGCCGCGGUAAUACGGAGGGUGCGAGCGUUAAUCGGAAUUACUGGGCGUAAAGCGCAUGCAGGUGGUUUGUUAAGUCAGAUGUGAAAGCCCGGGGCUCAACCUCGGAAUAGCAUUUGAAACUGGCAGACUAGAGUACUGUAGAGGGGGGUAGAAUUUCAGGUGUAGCGGUGAAAUGCGUAGAGAUCUGAAGGAAUACCGGUGGCGAAGGCGGCCCCCUGGACAGAUACUGACACUCAGAUGCGAAAGCGUGGGGAGCAAACAGGAUUAGAUACCCU
rnacentral:rRNA from 1 species